rnacentral:other from 1 species
AUGCACCUGCCCUGAUGGUGAUUAGGCUAAAAGGCUUUUCCUACAAUUUGAUUUUUAAAGGGAGUUUAAGUAAGGGUGUUACAAAGCAUACCAUAGUAUGGGAGCCGGAUUCCCCCUUCAAGACACCCACCUGUAGAUACAGGGUCUAAAGCUUUUUCGUCUACACCUCUAGGGCGGGGCAAUU